ACGCACGCUGGCGGCGUGCUUCACACAUGCCAGUCGAACGGAAAGGCCCUGCUUUUGUGGGGUGCUCGAGUGGCGAACGGGUGAGUAACACGUGAGUAACCUGCCCUUGACUUUGGGAUAACUUCAGGAAACUGGGGCUAAUACCGGAUAGGAGCUCCUGCUGCAUGGUGGGGGUUGGAAAGUUUCGGCGGUUGGGGAUGGACUCGCGGCUUAUCAGCUUGUUGGUGGGGUAGUGGCUUACCAAGGCUUUGACGGGUAGCCGGCCUGAGAGGGUGACCGGCCACAUUGGGACUGAGAUACGGCCCAGACUCCUACGGGAGGCAGCAGUGGGGAAUAUUGCACAAUGGGCGGAAGCCUGAUGCAGCAACGCCGCGUGCGGGAUGACGGCCUUCGGGUUGUAAACCGCUUUCGCCUGUGACGAAGCGUGAGUGACGGUAAUGGGUAAAGAAGCACCGGCUAACUACG
rnacentral:rRNA from 1 species